CCUACGGGUGGCAGCAGUGGGGAAUAUUGCACAAUGGGGGAAACCCUGAUGCAGCGACGCCGCGUGAGCGAAGAAGUAUUUCGGUAUGUAAAGCUCUAUCAGCAGGGAAGAAAAUGACGGUACCUGACUAAGAAGCACCGGCUAAAUACGUGCCAGCAGCCGCGGUAAAACGUAGGUCACAAGCGUUGUCCGGAUUUACUGGGUGUAAAGGGAGCGUAGGCGGUCUUAUAAGUCUGAUGUGAAAGCCCGGGGCUCAACCCCGGGACUGCAUUGGAAACUGUAGGACUAGAGUGUCGGAGGGGUAAGUGGAAUUCCUAGUGUAGCGGUGAAAUGCGUAGAUAUUAGGAGGAACACCAGUGGCGAAGGCGGCUUACUGGACGGUAACUGACGUUGAGGCUCGAAAGCGUGGGGAGCAAACAGGAUU
rnacentral:rRNA from 1 species